CCGUCCAGCGCGGAGGCUCUUCGCUGCCUCCGCCAGGAAGCGCACGCGGCCCAGCAGCUGCCGCGGGGACUCUAGCGCCGCGCCCGGGCCCGGGCCCGCCAUAGCUUGGUGGCCCAAGGAAGCCCAGGGGCGAUCCGGCCCCAGGAGCUUCUGCCAGGAAGGCUGACUAAGCUUCCCAUCACCUUCAGCCCCGCCUUCGGCCAGCCUUCACCGAGUAAGAUGCACUGCUUCUGCAGUGUUUGCACUAGCUCAUCAUCCAGCUGCAGCUCCUGGAGUCGACUCAGGAGCUGCUCCUCAUUACGGCACACCUUGUCCUGUGCGUAGAGGCCUUCAGGCAUCACCCUCUGUUGACCCAUCCCCAUCAGAGCAACUUCCAUGGCCAAUGACAGAAUGUAAGAACCUUAAAGGAAAGAGACUUUAUCUUACUGCCUGAGGCAUCUCCAGGGCCUGGACCCAGAGCCACAUGAAAGAGAGGAGGGACAGUGGUGCUCAGCUGCUCAAUUAUGAGGAUACAAACUGCUUCUAUAGAAGCCAGAGGAACAGAGAAGCAGCUAGGUCUUCUAUCAUUCCCUUGAGGUACGUCUUCUGAGCUAAAACCAACCCAAACUGAGGCCAAGAUCCAUUAGUCAUGAAAAACUUGAAGAGGAUUCAUGAAGAGGGCUCUAGGAAUUUAUGCUGGGCACUGUAAGGACACUCUAGAUGUGGAAAAGGACAGCAUCCUCAAUGUCAAAGAUACAAGCUUACCCUUAUUUAAGGUUUGGCAUUUCAAGACAAACAAAAGAACAGGCUUUUCUUAUUUAGGAUGACAAUUCUGACAGUCCAAAAGUUGUCCAGCCACCUUUGUUCUCAGGCUUUACCCUCCGACCUUUUGGAGUUCUAGGCAUGAAGACGCUAAAAUGAUAUCUGGCUCACCUGAACGGUGACUGGCAUUCUGGGGAAGUGCGUUGGUGAUGUUGGGCAGCUCAUGCCCAUAGUUCCCAUCCUCCAGGGGACAGACAUCCAGGUCAUUCCACUUCUGCAGCUG